UACGUAGGGGGCAAGCGUUGUCCGGAUUUAUUGGGCGUAAAGAGCUCGUAGGCGGUGUGUCGCGUCGGUCGUGAAAACUUGGGGCUUAACCCUGAGCUUGCGGUCGAUACGGGCAUCACUGGAGUUCGGCAGGGGAGACUGGAAUUCCUGGUGUAGCGGUGGAAUGCGCAGAUAUCAGGAGGAACACCGGUGGCGAAGGCGGUUCUCUGGGCCUUACCUGACGCUGAGGAGCGAAAGCGUGGGGAGCGAACAGG
rnacentral:rRNA from 1 species